AUGUGCAUCAAAAAAAAGCGAUGGCAUGAAAGAGAACGCUACUUAGCAAUGUCUUCGGAACAAAAUGAGAGUAUGUUGCAUAGGAUCCAUGAGAACAAGAAAGGAAGAAAGGGUGAUGGAGAACACUCAAGCAACGCUCAUGUUGGAGAAACAUUCAUAGACCGAUCCAGAAAUGCUCAUGGUGCAGAUGGAUCCGUACGCACUGCAAUGAGUACAACUACCGCAACGUCCUUUUGAUGAAUCCACAAGCUGGGUGGAUGUCAUAGCUCAAAUGUAUCACUCACUCAGGUCUGUUAUUGAAAGUCCUAAUUAUGUCCAAAGCUUGUUUACAACCUUACAGGCUGAUAAUGGCUGCUGAGCCCACCAAUCUGUUGAGGGAGCAUUUGACUUGGGUAUAUUUGAAACAAUUCAUCCUCAUGCUGAACUAGAAGGUAAAUUGUCGUUUAUUGAUGCCUUUUAUGUAAUCAAUAUGUGUAGAUACAUUAAUAUUUAUUAAGCCAUUUCAUACUAUGUGUUUCAUGCCACAUAGCCCUUUGAGAGAGUCCAAGAUUUAGCAACCGAAUUUGAUGAUGAUGAGGAAAGUAGGAUCUUCAAUUCACCAGGUAUAAUAUAGUAUACAAUCCUUUUAGGUGGUUUUGGACUCAUUGUUUGGUUCAGUAUAUAUACAAUAUAUUAUUUUUUCA